ACAUGGAUAGUGGAAAUGUGUGGUGUGGACCAAUCAAAGUUGUUGUGAUGUGUGAGUUACUGACCAUAUCACAGCACGCUUUGAUGGCUUCACAGACCCACAAAAGCUACCUGACAGAG
rnacentral:precursor_RNA from 10 species